GCUGGCUGGGCGGUUAGGAGGGCCCGGGGCCGAGACGAUGGCUGACCACAACCCUGACAGCGACCCCACGCCGCGCACGCUGCUGCGACGCGUGCUGGAUACAGCGGACCCGCGCACCCCGCGGCGACCCCGGAGUGCUCGGGCUGGAGCCCGGAGAGCCCUGCUUGAAAUGGCUUCCUCCAGGAGGUUGAGUGGCCAAACAAGGACGAUAGCCAGAGGGCGUUCCCGUGGAGCCAGGGUAAGUACCCAGCCCACUGACCCCAAAGGGCCCUGGCUGCCUCGGGGAGGGGGGUUGAGGUCUAGCUCUGCUCUGGAGCCCACCUUGAGGAAAUCUCAAGGCAAACGGACAGACUGGUUGCUUGGUGCUUUUGCGGAUAGUCUGUUGGCAGAUCGGCCCAUGUUCAGGCCAGUGGGCACUUGGAGGAACAGACACCUCGGACGCUGCUGAAGAACAUCCUACUAACUGCCCCACCCUCUCCUUGGUAUUUCUGCAGCCCCGGAAUCUUCCAUCCUGAUGCCCGAGUCGGUAGUGAAGCCAGUGCCAGCACCGGAGGUGGUCCAACCCUCCAGACGAGAGAGCAGUUGUGGCAGCCUGGAGCUGCAACUUCCUGAGCUCGAGCCCCCCACAACCCUGGCUCCAGGUCUGCUGGCCC
rnacentral:sRNA from 1 species